rnacentral:rRNA from 1 species
AGUGAGCGCUGGCGGCAGGCCUAACACAUGCAAGUCGAACGGCAGCACAAGAGAGCUUGCUCUCUGGGUGGCGAGUGGCGGACGGGUGAGGAAUGCAUCGGAAUCUGCCCAUUUGUGGGGGAUAACCUCGGGAAACCGGGACUAAUACCGCAUACGACCUACGGGUGAAAGCAGGGGAUCUUCGGACCUUGCGCAGAUGGAUGAGCCGAUGCCGGAUUAGCUAGUUGGAGGGGUAAAGGCCCACCAAGGCGACGAUCCGUAGCUGGUCUGAGAGGAUGAUCAGCCACCCUGGGACGGGGACACGGCCCGAACCCCUAGGGGGGGCAGCAGUGGGGAAUUUUGGAAAAUGGGCGAAACCCUAAUCCACCCAUGCCGCGGGGGUGAAAAAGGCCUUCGGGUUUUAAACCACUUUUGUUGGGAAAAAAAAGCGGCCGGUUAAAACCCGGUUGUCUGGACGGUACCCAAAAAAAAAGCCCCGGCUAACUUCGG